GCCGCGUUGGCUCAAUGGUAGAGCGUCGCCCUCCUAAAUUCUGACCUACAGUUGGAGUUGUGACAGGCGAAGGCUGCGGGUUCGAGUCCCGUGCGUGGUA
rnacentral:tRNA from 1 species